rnacentral:rRNA from 1 species
UACGUAGGGUGCGAGCGUUGUCCGGAAUUAUUGGGCGUAAAGAGCUCGUAGGCGGUCUGUCGCGUCGAUCGUGAAAACUUGGGGCUUAACCCUGAGCUUGCGGUCGAUACGGGCAUGACUGGAGUUCGGCAGGGGAGACUGGAAUUCCUGGUGUAGCGGUGAAAUGCGCAGAUAUCAGGAGGAACACCGGUGGCGAAGGCGGGUCUCUGGGCCGAUACUGACGCUGAGAAGCGAAAGCAUGGGGAGCGAACAGG